CUACGGGUUGCUCCAGUGAGGAAUAUUGCACAAUGGGGGGAACCCUGAUGCAGCAACGCCGCGUGGAGGAUGACGCAUUUCGGUGUGUAAACUCCUUUUAUAUGUCAAGAAAAUGACGGUAGCAUAUGAAUAAGCACCGGCUAACUCCGUGCCAGCAGCCGCGGUAAUACGGAGGGUGCAAGCGUUACUCGGAAUCACUGGGCGUAAAGGACGCGUAGGCGGGUUGGAAAGUCAGGUGUGAAAUCCUACAGCUUAACUGUAGAACUGCACUUGAAACUUCUAAUCUAGAGUAUGGGAGGGGGAGAUGGAAUUAGUGGUGUAGGGGUAAAAUCCGUAGAUAUCACUAGGAAUACCUAAAGCGAAGGCGAUCUCCUGGAACAUUACUGACGCUAAGGCGUGAAAGCGUGGGGAGCAAACAGGAUUAGAUACCCGAGUAGUC
rnacentral:rRNA from 1 species